CCUACGGGAGGCUGCAGUGAGGAAUAUUGGUCAAUGGACGAGAGUCUGAACCAGCCAAGUAACGUGAAGGAUGACUGCCCUAUGGGUUGUAAACUUCUUUUAUAUGGGAAUAAAAUGUUCCACGUGUGGGAUUUUGUAUGUACCAUAAGAAUAAGGAUCGGCUAACUCCGUGCCAGCAGCCGCGGUAAUACGGAGGAUCCGAGCGUUAUCCGGAUUUAUUGGGUUUAAAGGGAGCGUAGGUGGAUUGGUAAGUCAGUUGUGAAAGUUUGCGGCUCAACCGUAAAAUUGCAGUUGAAACUGGCAGUCUUGAGUACAGUAGAGGUGGGCGGAAUUCGUGGUGUAGCGGUGAAAUGCUUAGAUAUCACGAAGAACUCCGAUUGUGAAGGCAGUUCACUGGACUGCAACUGACACUGAGGCUCGAAAGUGUGGGUAUCAAACAGGAUUAGAUACCCGGGUAGUC
rnacentral:rRNA from 1 species